rnacentral:rRNA from 1 species
GAUGAACGCUGGCGGCGUGCCUAAUACAUGCAAGUCGAGCGAACAGACGAGGAGCUUGCUCCUCUGACGUUAGCGGCGGACGGGUGAGUAACACGUGGAUAACCUACCUAUAAGACUGGGAUAACUUCGGGAAACCGGAGCUAAUACCGGAUAAUAUAUUGAACCGCAUGGUUCAAUGGUGAAAGACGGUUUUGCUGUCACUUAUAGAUGGAUCCGCGCCGCAUUAGCUAGUUGGUAAGGUAACGGCUUACCAAGGCAACGAUGCGUAGCCGACCUGAGAGGGUGAUCGGCAACACUGGAACUGAGACACGGUCCAGACUCCUACGGGAGGCAGCAGUAGGGAAUCUUCCGCAAUGGGCGAAAGCCUGACGGAGCAACGCCGCGUGAGUGAUGAAGGUCUUCGGAUCGUAAAACUCUGUUAUUAGGGAAGAACAAAUGUGUAAGUAACUAUGCACGUCUUGACGGUACCUAAUCAGAAAGCCACGGCUAACUACGUG